rnacentral:rRNA from 1 species
UACGAAGGGGGCUAGCGUUGCUCGGAAUUACUGGGCGUAAAGCGCACGUAGGCGGCUUGUUAAGUCAGGGGUGAAAUCCUGGAGCUCAACUCCAGAACUGCCUUUGAUACUGGCGAGCUUGAGUUCGGGAGAGGUGAGUGGAACUGCGAGUGUAGAGGUGAAAUUCGUAGAUAUUCGCAAGAACACCAGUGGCGAAGGCGGCUCACUGGACCACAACUGACGCUGAGGCGCGAAAGCUAGGGGAGCAACAGG